UACGUAGGGGGCAAGCGUUGUCCGGAAUCAUUGGGCGUAAAGCGCGUGCAGGCGGCCUGUUAAGUCUGAUGUGAAAGCCCGGGGCUUAACCCCGGAAUGUCAUUGGAUACUGGCAGGCUAGAGUUCGGAAGAGGAGAGCGGAAUUCCUAGUGUAGCGGUGAAAUGCGCAGAUAUUAGGAGGAACACCUACGGCGAAGGCAGCUCUCUGGUACGUAACUGACGCUGAGACGCGAAAGUGUGGGUAGCGAACAGG
rnacentral:misc_RNA from 1 species